rnacentral:rRNA from 1 species
UACAGAGGGUGCGAGCGUUAAUCGGAAUUACUGGGCGGAAAGCGUGCGUAGACGGCUAUCUAAGUCGGGUGUGAAAGCCCCGGGCUCAACCUGGGAAUUGCAUUCGAGACUGAAUAGCUAGGGUACGGUAGAGGGAAGUGGAAUUUCCGGUGUAGCGGUGAAAUGCGUAGAUAUCGGAAGGAACAUCAGUGGCGAAAGCGACUUCCUGGACCAGUACCGACGUUCAGGCACGAAAGCGUGGGGAGCAAACAGG